AGAUUGUUGGUGAGGUAAUGGCUCACCAAGUCGACGAUCAUUAGCUGGUCUGAGAGGAUGACCAGCCAGACUGGAACUGAGAACGGUCCAGACUCCUACGGGAGGCAGCAGUAGGGAAUUUUCCACAAUGGACGAAAGUCUGAUGGAGCAACGCCGCGUGCAGGAUGAAGGCUCUAGGGUCGUAAACUGCUUUUAUCUGUGACGAAUAUGACGGUAGCAGAUGAAUAAGGAUCGGCUAACUACGUGCCAGCAGCCGCGGUCAUACGUAGGAUCCAAGCGUUAUCCGGAAUUACUGGGUGUAAAGAGUUGCGUAGGUGGCAGAGUAAGUAGGUAGUGAAAGCGUUCGGCUCAACCGAAUAAACAUUAUCUAAACUGCUCAGCUAGAGGAUGAGAGAGGUUAUUGGAAUUCCCAGUGUAGGAGUGAAAUCCGUAGAUAUUGGGAAGAACACCGAUGGCGUAGGCAGAUAACUGGCUCAUUCCUGACACUAAGGCACGAAAGCGUGGGGAGCAAACGGGAUUAGAUACCCCGGUAGUCCACGCCGUAAACUAUGGAUGCUAGCUGUAAGAGGUAUCGACCCCUCUUGUAGCGAAGCUAACGCGUUAAGCAUCCCACCUGUGGAGUACGGUCGCAAGACUAAAACAUAAAGGAAUUGACGGGGACCCGCACAAGCGGUGGAGCGUGUUGUUUAAUUCGAUGUAAGCGAAGAACCUUACCCAGGUUUGACAUCCUGCGAAUUUUGCCGAAAGGCGAGAGUGCUUUAUUGAGCGCAGUGACAGGUGUUGCAUGGCCGUCGUCAGCUCGUGUCGUGAGAUGUUUGGUUAAGUCCAUCAACGAGCGCAACCCUUAUAGUCUGUUGUAUUUCUCAGGCUAGACUGCCCUGGUAACAGGGAGGAAGGGGGGGAUGAUGUCAGGUCAGUAUUACCCUUACAUCUGGGGCUACAAACACGCUACAAUGGCCGGUACAAAGGGCUGCCAAGUCGCGAGACGGAGCAAAUCCCAUCAAAGCCGGUCCCAGUUCAGAUUGGAGGCUGAAACUCGCCUCCAUGAAGUCGGAAUCGCUAGUAACGGUAGGUCAGCUAUACUACCGUGAAUACGUUCCCGGGUCUUGUACACACCGCCCGUCAAACCAUGAAAGUCGCCAAUACCUGACGUGUUGCCUUCGCGCAGCCCUAAGGUAGGGGAGAUGAUUGGGGUUAAGUCGUAACAAGGUAUCCGUACG
rnacentral:rRNA from 1 species